AGAAAGUUAGUCUAACUAAGACAGUUGAUUUCGACUCAACAGAUUAUAGCUAUAACCCUAUAACUUUCUU
rnacentral:tRNA from 1 species